rnacentral:rRNA from 1 species
AACGAACGCUGGCGGCAUGCCUAACACAUGCAAGUCGAACGAGACCUUCGGGUCUAGUGUCGCACGGGUGCGUAACGCGUGGGAACCUGCCCUUAGGUUCGGAAUAACUCCCCGAAAGGGGUGCUAAUACCGGAUAAUGUCUUCGGACCAAAGAUUUAUCGCCUUUGGAUGGGCCCGCGUUGGAUUAGCUAGUUGGUAGGGUAAAAGCCUACCAAGGCGACGAUCCAUAGCUGGGCUGAGAGGGUGAUCAGCCACACUGGGACUGAGACACGGCCCAGACUCCUACGGGAAGCAGCAGUGGGGAAUAUUGGACAAUGGGCGAAAGCAUGAUCCAGCAAUGCCGCGUGAGGGAUGAAGGCCUUAGGGUUGUAAAGCUCUUUUACCCGGGAUGAUAAUGACAGUACCGGGAGAAUAAGCUCCGGCUAACUCCGUG